rnacentral:rRNA from 1 species
AACGAACGCUGGCGGCAGGCUUAACACAUGCAAGUCGAGCGCCCCGCAAGGGGAGCGGCAGACGGGUGAGUAACGCGUGGGAACGUACCCUUUGCUACGGAAUAGCUCCGGGAAACUGGAAUUAAUACCGUAUGUGCCCUACGGGGGAAAGAUUUAUCGGCAAAGGAUCGGCCCGCGUUGGAUUAGCUAGUUGGUGGGGUAAUGGCCUACCAAGGCGACGAUCCAUAGCUGGUCUGAGAGGAUGAUCAGCCACAUUAGGACUGAGACACGGCCCAAACUCCUACGGGAGGCAGCAGUGGGGAAUAUUGGACAAUGGGCGCAAGCCUGAUCCAGCCAUGCCGCGUGAGUGAUGAAGGCCUUAGGGUUGUAAAGCUCUUUCACCGGAGAAGAUAAUGACGGUAUCCGGAGAAGAAGCCCCGGCUAACUUCGUGCCAGCAGCCGCAGUAA